rnacentral:rRNA from 1 species
UGGGGAAUAUUGGACAAUGGGCGCAAGCCUGAUCCAGCCAUGCCGCGUGAGUGAUGAAGGCCCUAGGGUUGUAAAGCUCUUUCACCGGUGAAGAUAAUGACGGUAACCGGAGAAGAAGCCCCGGCUAACUUCGUGCCAGCAGCCGCGGUAAUACGAAGGGGGCUAGCGUUGUUCGGAUUUACUGGGCGUAAAGCGCACGUAGGCGGACUAUUAAGUCAGGGGUGAAAUCCCGGGGCUCAACCCCGGAACUGCCUUUGAUACUGGUAGUCUUGAGUUCGGUAGGUGAGACUGGAAUUCCUGGUGUAGCGGUGAAAUGCGCAGAUAUCAGGAGGAACACCGGUGGCGAAGGCGGGUCUCUGGGCCGAUACUGACGCUGAGGAGCGAAAGCGUGGGGAGCGAACA